rnacentral:snRNA from 1 species
GGAUGUGAGGGCGAUCUGGCUGCGACAUCUGUCACCCCAUUGAUUGCCAGGGUUGAUUCGGCUGAUCUGGCUGGCUAGACAGGUGUCCCCCUCCUCCCUCACUGAUCCAUGUGUGUCUCUCCUGAGGCUGUGCGCUCGGUCAAAGAGGACGAACUUCCACCCAGAGAGGACCGGUCUUCUGUCAAGGGUAUACGAGUAGCUGCGCUCCCCUGCUAGAACCUCCAAAACAAGCUCUCAAGAUAACUUGUUAUGUAAAAUUAUUUAUUUAUCUAAGAUGCACCUACACUGAAUUUAUCUGAAAAAUAAAGU